rnacentral:rRNA from 1 species
AUUGAACGCUGGCGGCAGGCCUAACACAUGCAAGUCGAGCGGAGCGGCGGACGGGUGAGUAAUGCCUAGGAAGCGGCCUGGUAGUGGGGGAUAACGUCCGGAAACGGGCGCUAAUACCGCAUACUAUCAGAUUAGCCUAGGUAGGAUUAGCUAGUUGGUGGGGGAAAGGCCUACCAAGGCGACGAUCCGUAACUGGUCUGAGAGGAUGAUCAGUCACACUGGAACUGAUACACGGUCAAGACUCCUACGGGAGGCAGCAGUGGGGAAUAUUGGACAAUUGGCGAAAGCCUGAUCCAGCCAUGCCGCGUGGGUGAAGAAGGUCUUCGGAUUUUAAAGCACUUUAAGUUGGGAGGCGUUACCAACAGAAUAAGCACCGGCUAACUUCGUGCCAGCCGCCGCGGUAAUAC